GAUGAACGCUGGCGGCGUGCCUAAUACAUGCGAGUCGAGCGAACAGAUGAGGAGCUUGCUCCUCUGACGUUAGCGGCGGACGGGUGAGUAACACGUGGAUAACCUACCUAUAAGACUGGGAUAACUUCGGGAAACCGGAGCUAAUACCGGAUAAUAUAUUGAACCGCAUGGUUCAAUAGUGAAAGACGGUUUUGCUGUCACUUAUAGAUGGAUCCGCGCCGCAUUAGCUAGUUGGUAAGGUAACGGCUUACCAAGGCAACGAUGCGUAGCCGACCUGAGAGGGUGAUCGGCCACACUAGAACGGAGACACGGUCCAGACUCCUACGGGAGGCAGCAGUAGGGAAUCUUCCGCAAUGGGCGAAAGCCUGACGGAGCAACGCCGCGUGAGUGAUGAAGGUCUUCGGAUCGUAAAACUCUGUUAUUAGGGAAGAACAAAUGUGUAAGUAACUAUGCACGUCUUGACGGUACCUAAUCAGAAAGCCACGGCUAACUACGUG
rnacentral:rRNA from 1 species